rnacentral:rRNA from 1 species
UUUAUGGAGAGUUUGAUCCUGGCUCAGAGUGAACGCUGGCGGCGUGCCUAAUACAUGCAAGUCGAACGAUGAAGCCUUUAGCUUGCUAGAGGUGGAUUAGUGGCGCACGGGUGAGUAACGCAUAGGUAAUAUGCCCCAUAGUCUAGGAUAGCCACUGGAAACGGUGAUUAAUACUGGAUACUCCCUACGGGGGAAAGUUUUUCGCUAUGGGAUUAGCCUAUGUCCUAUCAGCUUGUUGGUGAGGUAAUGGCUCACCAAGGCUAUGACGGGUAUCCGGCCUGAGAGGGUGAACGGACACACUGGAACUGAGACACGGUCCAGACUCCUACGGGAGGCAGCAGUAGGGAAUAUUGCUCAAUGGGGGAAACCCUGAAGCAGCAACGCCGCGUGGAGGAUGAAGGUUUUAGGAUUGUAAACUCCUUUUGUUAGAGAAGAUUAUGACGGUAUCUAACGAAUAAGCACCGGCUAACUCCGUGCCAGCAGCCGCGGUAAUACGGAGGGUGCAAGCGUUACUCGGAAUCACUGGGCGUAAAGAGUGCGUAGGCGGGUAGUCAAGUCAGAUGUGAAAUCCUGUAGCUUAACUACAGAACUGCAUUUGAAACUGACUAUCUAGAGUAUGGGAGAGGUAGGUGGAAUUCUUGGUGUAGGGGUAAAAUCCGUAGAGAUCAAGAGGAAUACUCAUUGCGAAGGCGACCUGCUGGAACAUUACUGACGCUGAUGCGCGAAAGCGUGGGGAGCAAACAGGAUUAGAUACCCUGGUAGUCCACGCCCUAAACGAUGAAUGCUAGUUGUUGCCCUGCUUGUCAGGGCAGUAAUGCAGCUAACGCAUUAAGCAUUCCGCCUGGGGAGUACGGUCGCAAGAUUAAAACUCAAAGGAAUAGACGGGGACCCGCACAAGCGGUGGAGCAUGUGGUUUAAUUCGAUGCUACGCGAAGAACCUUACCUAGGCUUGACAUUGAUAGAAUCUGCUAGAGAUAGCGGAGUGCUGGUUUGCCAGAGCUUGAAAACAGGUGCUGCACGGCUGUCGUCAGCUCGUGUCGUGAGAUGUUGGGUUAAGUCCCGCAACGAGCGCAACCCUCGUCCUUAGUUGCUAGCAGUUCGGCUGAGCACUCUAAGGAGACUGCCUUCGCAAGGAGGAGGAAGGUGAGGACGACGUUAAGUCAUCAUGGCCCUUACGCCUAGGGCUACACACGUGCUACAAUGGGACAUACAAAAAGAUGCAAUAUCGCGAGAUGGAGCAAAUCUCUAAAAUGUCUCUCAGUUCGGAUUGUAGUCUGCAACUCGACUACAUAAAGCUGGAAUCGCUAGUAAUCGCAAAUCAGCAAUGUUGCGGUGAAUACGUUCCCGGGUCUUGUACUCACCGCCCGUCACACCAUGGGAGUUGUAUUCGCCUUAAGUCGGGAUACUAAAUUGGUUACCGCCCACGGCGGAUGCAGCGACUGGGGUGAAGUCGUAACAAGGUAACCGUAGGUGAACCUGCGGUUGGAUCACCUCCUUU